rnacentral:rRNA from 1 species
UACGGAGGAUCCAAGCGUUAUCCGGAAUCAUUGGUUUAAAGGGUCCGUAGGCGGUUUGGUAAGUCAGUGGUGAAAGCCCAUCGCUCAACCGGUGGAACGGCCAUUGAUACUGCCAGACUUGAAUUAUUAGGAAGUAACUAGAAUAUGUAGUGUAGCGGUGAAAUGCUUAGAGAUUACAUGGAAUACCAAUUGCGAAGCAGGUACUACUAAUGGAUGACGCUGAUGACGAAAGCGUGGUAGC